UAAACCCGUAAACUGUCGGACGUUCUAUUUGAUAAAAAGCUUUUGAUCUUUGUAAUUAUACACAAGAAAAAUUUUAUUUAGAAGUAGUUCAGAUGUUUUUUGAGUUGUAUUUCUAAUUGUAUAACAUGAAGGAGACUAACACUGGUAAGUAUUGACAUCGAAAUAAUUUCGAAUUUUUACAAUUCACUUUUACAACUUUUGAGCUACGCUAGGGUGCGUCCCGUGAUUUUAACGCUAUGCACGGCGAGCUCGCGAAACGGACGAGUACGGGCGGCCUCGGGUCAUCGAUUACACAUAUACUCGAUGCCUCGGCCAAUCGAUUACACAUAUAAUCGAUGCCUCGGGCCGAAAACUACGCGCUUGGCGGCGCUUAUUCGAGUACGUAUAGAUAGUUAGACCCCGCGUUUUCGCGUGUCGCGCCCUUACCGACCAGAGGCGGAUCGGAACAUGCGGCCACGGGCGAGCACGAGCGCGCUCGGGCGGCCCUCUUCCUAAGGCGAGAUUGCGCGAAACGCGCGGCCCUGGCCGCGAAACGGGUCACGGGCUAUGGGAAGCCGCGUCGACAAUGCAAUUCAUAUUAUUAUAAUGUCACAAUUCGAAUUCUACCUAAGUAAUUAUGAAUCUGCAGAAGUAACAGACAAGUUUUUCUAUUUGUUUUCCGUUUUUGCUGAAAUCAGGUAUGAAACAUUAAACCACAAAUUAUUUUUAGAAGCAAUAUUGAAAUGCAGAUAAUGUUAUCCGAGCGCACUUAAAAGGAUACAAGAAAUUGAACGCUUUUGCCAGUGUCCUAGUACAGUCGGGUCUACCAUUCCAGAAGGUUGUGUCAGGAUAGGUUUUGCCGUCGGGGUUGACACACCAACAGCCGGCGGAGGGUGCGCACUGUACGGGCGCAUAGGUGCCGUCAGCGCGGCACCGUGGCACGAACGCCGCUCGACGCCCAGCGUUGCGCGUGUUCAAUGCGUAACGCAAUGCAAUGAGGCACGAAGAUUGACUCUCUGUACGCAAAUAUGUUCCUUGUCUUUUAUAAUGACCAAUUUGGAAAGCUUACCAGCACAAGGACCCCUGUGGGCCAGAGCAACAGCUUUCGCCGAGCACUGGGCCUUCAUGAGGUCACAACGUGAAGGAUAGAAGUUAACAACGAAUAGGACCACAAUAAGCCCACAUAACUUGGAUUCUAAUAACGAACAGAGACGAGGACAAUGGUGCGAUAUCCACAGGUCACAUUAUGCGUCGCGGUCAUUUUACCGGCACUCCUACGUGUUUAUUUUUAUUAAAAAAAACCUAUUUUGCACAUAGACUGAUACAAAAAUAUAACUGUUGAAAGUAUACAAACUUUGUGUAUUAAUCCAAGGAUCCAAAAUUAUGGGUUGAUUCCAUAGCAAUGAAAAAAAAAACAGUACAAUCGUUCAAUUGUGAGCGCGAGGGAAAAUC